GAGGGUGCAGCUCAGUGGUAGAGCACGUGCUUAACACGCAUAAGGUCCUAGGUUCAAUCCCCAGCACCUCUG
rnacentral:tRNA from 1 species